CUUAACUAGCCCCCACAACUUCCUGUCACUUGCUCCAAACUAAAACACUACAAGAUUCACCAAUGUGUGUGAUUCUCAGCUCUUCACCUUCUCUUAGCAAUUUUCCCUUGCUUUGGUAAUGAUGAGACACCAACAAUAAAUAUUUGCAGAGGAAGUUCAGAUUCAAAAAUUCAUCUUUCUCUGAUGAAGUAAGGUAAAGGUACCACUGCCAACUGACUGAAAAUUUUGAAAAAAGACAAAGUCUGGGGCAAUUUGACAGCCCAUAAAUGAAUCAUCUUCUACAUAGUUUUAAAAAACUAUAACUAAAACUAUAGUCUUAAAAAAACUAACUAUAACUAAAAGGUCUUUUACUGGGAUUGGAAUUUUGUGCAUCUAUUUGGCUGGACAUAGUAUGGACAUUGGGCCUUCUAAACCAAGGUUUCAUGGAAAGAAUUAACCCCUAAUUCCUUAGGCAUCUCUUGUAUGUAAUAAAUUACCUAGUAUCGUUCAAGAAAUAGGUAUAGAGAAAAGUCAGGUGCCCUCCAGAAGAGUCCCUCAAAUCAUUUUCUAUGUUCUGUGAUUUCAGACGAGAAACCCCAGCUGAGGAGGCAAAUACACUCAAGGAAAGUAAUAGUUUCCAAAUGCCUGGCAGUGCCAGGAAGGGGCCAUGUCCGUGGACCACUAUGUAAGGAUAUCUCAGUCUCUAGUCAAGCAUGGUUUAUGGUGCCAAAUAAGUGCCAGGUGAACUCACUACAUCUGACAAAAUCUCAAGGAACCAAGUUUACCAGAUAAUAUUUAUGAUUAUGUGAAAAAGACUGAGGAAAUCACUCUAGUGAUCCAUCAUACAGCACCUCCAGUUCCAAAGAAUACUGACUUACUUCAGCUGUACUGGUCUGGAGCUGCACAUUCUUUUCAGACAACUCUUGUUCCAGUGACUCUUCUCCUGUAACAGAGCCUCCUUCUUAGAAACUAUGGCCUCCCGUUUCUUUAAGUCUUCUUCCAGCUCCUCUAAUUCUUGGCGUUGGUUCAGAACUUUCUCUACUUCUUCAUCUAACCAUUUCUUUUGCUCAUCCAAUUUCUACAUUAAAAUUUAAAAAAAAGUUACUUGUUUUUCCUUCUGCCAUAAAAAUUAUAUGGUAAUAAUAGAAUUUCAGAUUGGCUGAAAUCUCUUAAAUGAACAUUUAAAAACUAUCACUCAGAGUAACUCAGGUAGCCGUCUGAGAUCCUAAAGACAUCAGUGGUUCUAGUCAAGAUGUAGUUAUGUUGUUUUAUAAAGAGUUAAAAUUUACUCCCCAGAUAUGUUAAACAGUCUAGGAUUUUUUAGCCUGACAAAGAAAGGGCUGAUAAUUUUCUAUGCCUAUAUUAAGAACAUGCUGGAGUCUUUUACUCUGUUGUAGUGGUGCACAGUUCCAUCACAGCACUUACACUGGUGGCUGCCCUACUUAUCUAUCUCCCCG
rnacentral:antisense_RNA from 1 species